CAGUAGCCGCGGUAAUACGUAGGGUGCGAGCGUUAAUCGGAAUUACUGGGCGUAAAGCGUGCGCAGGCGGUUCGUUAAGACAGAUGUGAAAUCCCCGGGCUUAACCUGGGAACUGCAUUUGUGACUGGCGAGCUAGAGUAUGGCAGAGGGGGGUAGAAUUCCACGUGUAGCAGUGAAAUGCGUAGAUAUGCGGAGGAACACCGAUGGCGAAGGCAGCCCCCUGGGCCAAUACUGACGCUCAUGCACGAAAGCGUGGGGAGCAAACAGGAUUAGAUACCCGGGUAGUCCCUGUCUCUUAUAC
rnacentral:rRNA from 1 species